AUGUUCAGAAGAAGAGCCUGAAGGUCCAGCAGUGGUUCAGAUGUUCAGAAGAAGAGCCUGAAGGUCCAGCAGUGGUUCAGAUGUUCAGAAGAAGAGCCUGAAGGUCCAGCAGUGGUUCAGAUGUUCAGAAGAAGAGCCUGAAGGUCCAGCAGUGGUUCAGAUGUUCAGAAGAAGAGCCUGAAGGUCCAGCAGUGGUUCAGUUGUUCAGAAGAAGAGCCUGAAGGUCCAGCAGUGGUUCAGUUGUUCAGAAGAAGAGCCUGAAGGUCCAGCAGUGGUUCAGAUGUUCAGAAGAAGAGCCUGAAGGUCCAGCAGUGGUUCAGAUGUUCAGAAGAGCCUGAAGGUCCAGCAGUGGUUCAGAUGUUCAGAAGAGCCUGAAGGUCCAGCAGUGGUUCAGAUGUUCAGAAGAGCCUGAAGGUCCAGCAGUGGUUCAGAUGUUCGCUCAGCUGGCUCUAAGUGGGUAAAAAUAUUCAAACAAAUCCUUCACUGAAUAUUUUCUUCACCAGUGGAACAGCAUGAAUGAAAACAUGUCAGAGCUGAUUGACUUCCUGUUGGGUCACAGAUCCAGUUAAUGUCUUGUUAGGACGAGUUUAUGUUUAAAUUUAAUUCUCUUAAACCCUUUAUAUGAAUAAACUAUAAAGUGUGAUGAAGAAGAAACCAAACUGUGUAAAACAGGCUCAGUGUUGGACUGAGAAGGUCGCUGAUGUAGAACGUUUCUCCUGAUAAAUGAACACCAGAGACUGAUGAGAGCAGCCAGAGCUGGUUUAUGAGCUUCCAGUAGUCGAAUCAUCUGAUGAAAUCACUGUUCAGGUGGUUUGUUUCUGCCAUAUUUAUGUUCAGUCUGACUGCAGCUACAAAAACAGAAGCUGUAGAAACUCUGCAGUCAUGAAAAAAGAAACUUUAAAAUUGUUGAUUUUAUCAUUUUAAAGGUUACCAUUUAUUAAAAACUGUUAAAAGUCAUGAAGUGAAACUUCAACAUUUGGUCUAUUUUCUGUAUUUUGUUUCUCUGCUCCUUUAAUUCUUAUGGAGACGCUUUGAUCGGUUCCAGUCCGACUCCUCUGUAGCCGAACAUGAUUUCUUUAAAGCCUCGUAUUUAUUCAAGUUGAAUUUCUGGGUCUCUUGACUACAGAGCAGUUCUAGCUGCUGUAGAAAUUAAAACAUUCAGUCCACACAGACUUUAAACCAGUAAAGGUGGAAACUUUAACAAGGAAACCAAACUGGGAG
ensembl:lncRNA